rnacentral:rRNA from 1 species
CAUAGGUUAAUGAGGCGAACCGGGGGAACUGAAACAUCUAAGUACCCCGAGGAAAAGAAAUCAACCGAGAUUCCCCCAGUAGCGGCGAGCGAACGGGGAGGAGCCCAGAGCCUGAAUCAGUGUGUGUGUUAGUGGAAGCGUCUGGAAAGGCGCGCGAUACAGGGUGACAGCCCCGUACACAAAAAUGCACAUGCUGUGAGCUCGAUGAGUAGGGCGGGACACGUGGUAUCCUGUCUGAAUAUGGGGGGACCAUCCUCCAAGGCUAAAUACUCCUGACUGACCGAUAGUGAACCAGUACCGUGAGGGAAAGGCGAAAAGAACCCCGGCGAGGGGAGUGAAAAAGAACCUGAAACCGUGUACGUACAAGCAGUGGGAGCACAGAGCAAUCUGUGUGACUGCGUAC